rnacentral:rRNA from 1 species
AUGUACGAUGAUGAUCAAGAGGAUGAUGAUAUUUCAUCUCAGCCGCUUAUGCCCUAUGUUGGCAUGGAAUUUGACUCUAUUGAUGAUGCCAAGGAAUUUUACAAUGAAUAUGCAUUCAAGAUGGGCUUUGGCACACGCAUUUGCGCUUCUAAAAAAAGCUGA